AAGAAAAAUUUAAAAAACCAAGGCAUUGUGGGAAAUGUAAGAAAGUAGGACACACUGUUCGAAAAUGCCCAGAGUUCGUCAACACUCACAAUGCAUUUAUCAACAUUGAAGAUUCAAUUGAAGAUAUGGGGGACAUGCAUUCAUUACUAAAUCACAACAUGGAAGGUGGAUCAAGACACGGGACAAAUGAAUUUUCUCAAAAUACAACACUUGGCACAUUUCAGAAUCCAGAAACGAGCUUAAAUGAUUCAUGGCUCGGGUUACAUCCACCAAAUUACUUCACAAACCAAGUCACCAUGAACCACUUUACAUCCGGAAUUUUGG